GGAUCGUCCACACACAAACAGAAUUUUAAAGAUGUGGCUACCUUAUUUUCCAUUAUCUUCAUUGUGUUGGCCUUCGUAGGUUUCGCUAUAUAUGGGUUGGUCAUCUACGGUAUAAAGGAGAACCAGGAUGCGAUGUUAAUUUCCUACUUGAUAUUGAGUGGAAUUAGCGCUAUACUCAGCUUUUUACGAGUGUUGCUUAUCGCGUUUGACUUGGUUGCAGGAACGCACAACAUUUUUUACUUCUUUUUCUCAGUAUUUUCUUGCAUGUUUCAGAUCUUCACUUUCCGCGUGAUGUACUCUCUGUACACAACUAUUAAAAUGGACAUCUUAAACGGUCGUGUAUAGGUUCCGCCUUUCGCAGCAGCCGUACCAUUGCAACAAAACGUUCCCACCGUAUAUCCCCCAAUGACGUAUAUCCAACUACCUACCCCACCUAUAAUAAGGUAUAAGUUCGGGAAACCUCAUCUUUGUUACAUGUAUCGCCAUUUAUGGAAGCUUACUCAUCGUGAU